UCGUCAGCUCGUGUCGUGAGAUGUUGGGUUAAGUCCCGCAACGAGCGCAACCCCUUUUCCAUGUUGCUAACAGUUCGGCUGAGCACUCUUGGAAUACUGCCGGUGUAAAACUGGAGGAAGGUGGGGAUGACGUCAAGUCCUCAUGCCCUUUAUGUCUUGGGCUGCACACGUGCUACAAUGGCUUAUACAAAGAGUUGCGAUACUGCGAAGUGGAGCUAAUCUCUAAAAAUAGGUCUAAGUCCGGAUUGAAGGCUGAAAUUCGCCUUCAUGAAGUAGGAGUCGCUAGUAAUUGUGGAUCAGCAUGCCACAGUGAAUACGUUCCCGGGCCUUGUACACACCGCCCGUCACACCACGAAAGUCGGAAACACCCGAAACCAGUGUACCAACCGGUAACGGAGGAAACUGUAUAAGGUGGAGUCGGUGAUUGGGGUGAAGUCGUAACAAGGUAGCCGUACCGGAAGGUGCGGCUGGAUCACCUCCUUU
rnacentral:rRNA from 1 species